rnacentral:lncRNA from 1 species
CAAUGGUCCAGUCAAUGACCUUGCUUGAAAAUCAACUUGUUGAGAAACUUUGGGUACUUAAAGUUCUGCAGCAUCUCUCAACUUCUGAAGUUAAUUGUACUAUAAUGAUGAAAGCACAAGCAGCCAGUGGAAUCUGUACUCACCUCAAUGACCCAGAUCCCUCUGGACAGCUUUUAUUUCGUUCAUCAGAAAUACUUUGGAACUUGCUGGAAAAAUCUUCAAAAGAAGAAGUCAUACAACAGCUUAGUAACUUGGAAUGUUUGCUGUAAGCGUAUGUGGUUAGAUAGGAAUGUUCUUUUAAUCUUAAAAUGACAGCCAGUGACAUAACUAACAUCUUUGUUUGAAUCUGUGUUCAAUUAUGUUUUAGAUUCAUGUAAUGGCUAUGUUUCAGGACAUCUUUUUUGUUCCAUGGUAUAAAUGAAUCUGCACAAUAACAAGCCACACUUUUCUAUGUGGAAGGCUCUUGAAGUAGCUUCUUAACACUAAAAUAUAACUUGGAAUAUAGAUAAAGUAAAAUUAGACUUUA